rnacentral:rRNA from 1 species
UACGGAGGGUGCAAGCGUUAUCCGGAUUCACUGGGUUUAAAGGGUGCGUAGGUGGGCAAGUAAGUCAGUGGUGAAAUCUCCGGGCUUAACCCGGAAACUGCCAUUGAUACUAUUUGUCUUGAAUACUGUGGAGGUCAGCGGAAUAUGUCAUGUAGCGGUGAAAUGCUUAGAUAUGACAUAGAACACCAAUUGCGAAGGCAGCUGGCUACACAAAUAUUGACACUGAGGCACGAAAAGCGUGGGGGAUCAAAACAGGA